UACGUAGGGGGCAAGCGUUGUCCGGAUUUAUUGGGCGUAAAGAGCGUGUAGGCGGUCAGGUAGGUCCGUUGUGAAAACUCGAGGCUCAACCUCGAGACGCCGAUGGAAACCAUCUGACUAGAGUCCGGAAGAGGAGAGUGGAAUUCCUGGUGUAGCGGUGAAAUGCGCAGAUAUCAGGAAGAACACCCGUGGCGAAGGCGGCUCUCUGGGACGGUACUGACGCUGAGACGCGAAAGCGUGGGGAGC
rnacentral:rRNA from 1 species